UACGUAGGGACCAAGCGUUGUUCGGAUUUACUGGGCGUAAAGAGCUCGUAGGCGGCUUGUCACGUCGGGUGUGAAAGACCGGGGCUUAACUCCGGUUCUGCAUUCGAUACGGGCUAGCUAGAGUGUGGUAGGGGAGAUCGGAAUUCCUGGUGUAGCGGUGAAAUGCGCAGAUAUCAGGAGGAACACCGGUGGCGAAGGCGGCAUCCUGGACCGACACUGACACUGAGGAGCGAAAGCCAGGGGAGCAAACGGG
rnacentral:rRNA from 1 species